GGAGCCUGAGGGAACUUUUGGGGGUGAUGGAAAAGUUUUAUAUCUUGAUUGUGGUGAUAGUAAAUGUAGAUCUGAAAGAAAUCUAAAUGGUUAACCACACUUGUUCCCCAAGUGAUCUGGCAUCUACUGCUGAUGAAGGCUGUGUGCUGUUUUCUGUCGGAAAAUGUUUGGGACCCACAGGGCCCAGGGUCAGAGAACCUCUCCGCCUGAGCAGACACUGGACAGGCUUGUCGGGGAUGCGCGGGCAGGCUCCGGGCCCAGCCCUGCUCCUCUCAGCAACCAGCGUCCAGGGAGAGAUUAUUCUGUUCCUGGGAUGUUCAUUUCCAGAGAGUCCCUCCAGGCAUGAUGCUGCCCCUAUUCCACGGCCCACUUGUGUCUUCAGGCAGAGGACUUCCAGAGCAUGGCCAGCUCCCGC